GAUGAACGCUGGCGGCGUGCCUAAUACAUGCAAGUCGAGCGAACAGACGAGGAGUUUGCUCCUCUGACGUUAGCGGCGGACGGGUGAGUAACACGUGGAUAACCUACCUAUAAGACUGGGAUAACUUCGGGAAACCGGAGCUAAUACCGGAUAACAUGUUGAACCGCAUGGUUCAACAGUGAAAGACGGUUUUGCUGUCACUUAUAGAUGGAUCCGCGUCGCAUUAGCUAGUUGGUAAGGUAACGGCUUACCAAGGCAACGAUGCGUAGCCGACCUGAGAGGGUGAUCGGCCACACUGGAACUGAGACACGGUCCAGACUCCUACGGGAGGCAGCAGUAGGGAAUCUUCCGCAAUGGGCGAAAGCCUGACGGAGCAACGCCGCGUGAGUGAAGAAGGUCUUCGGAUCGUAAAACUCUGUUAUUAGGGAAGAACAAAUGUGUAAGUAACUAUGCACGUCUUGACGGUACCUAAUCAGAAAGCCACGGCUAACUACGUG
rnacentral:rRNA from 1 species